CCGAGUUUACAACUCCCAAACCCCUGUGAACAUACCUAUACGUUGCCUCGGCGGAAUCAGCCCGCGCCCGGUAAAACGGGACGGCCCGCCAGAGGACCCCUAAACUCUGUUUCUAUAGUGGAACUUCUGAGUAAAACCAUAAAUAAAUCA
rnacentral:misc_RNA from 1 species